GGUUAAGUUAGAAAGGGCGCACGGUGGAUGCCUUGGCACUAGGAGCCGAAGAAGGACGGGACUAACACCGAUAUGCUUUGGGGAGCUGUACGUAAGCGUUGAUCCAGAGAUUUCCGAAUGGGGGAACCCACUAUCUUUAGUCGGAUAGUAUCCUUACGUGAAUACAUAGCGUGAGGAAGGCAGACCCAGGGAACUGAAACAUCUAAGUACCUGGAGGAAGAGAAAGAAAAAUCGAUUUCCUGAGUAGCGGCGAGCGAAACGGAAAGAGCCCAAACCAAGAAGCUUGCUUCUUGGGGUUGUAGGACACUCUAUACGGAGUUACAAAAGAAAGUUAUAAAUGAAGCGGUCUGGAAAGGCCCGCCAAAGACGGUAACAGCCCGGUAGUUGAAAUGGCUUUCCCUCCAGAGUGGAUCCUGAGUACGGCGGAACACGUGAAAUUCCGUCGGAAUCCGGGAGGACCAUCUCCCAAGGCUAAAUACUCCCUAGUGACCGAUAGUGAACCAGUACCGUGAGGGAAAGGUGAAAAGCACCCCGGAAGGGGAGUGAAACAGUUCCUGAAACCGUGUGCCUACAAGUAGUUAGAGCCCGUUAAUGGGUGAUAGCGUGCCUUUUGUAGAAUGAACCGGCGAGUUACGAUUUGUUGCAAGGUUAAGCGGAAAAAGCGGAGCCGUAGCGAAAGCGAGUCUGAAUAGGGCGCAUAAGUAACAGGUCGUAGACCCGAAACCAGGUGAUCUACCCAUGUCCAGGAUGAAGGUAAGGUAAUACUUACUGGAGGUCCGAACCCACGCACGUUGAAAAGUGCGGGGAUGAGGUGUGGGUAGCGGAGAAAUUCCAAUCGAACUUGGAGAUAGCUGGUUCUCUCCGAAAUAGCUUUAGGGCUAGCCUCGAGGUAAAGAGUCAUGGAGGUAGAGCACUGUUUGGACUAGGGGCCCUUCUCGGGUUACCGAAUUCAGAUAAACUCCGAAUGCCAUGUACUUAUACUCGGGAGUCAGACUGCGAGUGAUAAGAUCCGUAGUCGAAAGGGAAACAGCCCAGACCACCAGUUAAGGUCCCCAAAUAUAUGUUAAGUGGAAAAGGAUGUGGGGUUGCUUAGACAACCAGGAUGUUGGCUUAGAAGCAGCCACCAUUGAAAGAGUGCGUAAUA
rnacentral:rRNA from 1 species